UGUUGCCCAAUCUUACUAAUAUACCCUUCCUUCAAAUAUUUUUUACACUAACAAAAGGCUAUCUAAGUAAUUAACAAAAUAAAUAUUGCUCAAUGCCAUUUGUGUGCUUCUCAUUGGACAAACUCAAAAAGUUUUGUACUUCCAUUCAAUCAGUUCAAAUUCUACAUCCCUUUCUCUCUUCUCUCUCCCGUUUUCGAUCUUCUAUUCUUCUCAAACCCUACAACAUCGUCGUCCCCUUUCUCCUUCCAUCUUCGUUUCUCAUUCCUCUGCCACUCUCAAAAAGGGUUUCUAAAAAGAAAAUGAUGAAGGUACACCACUUAGAGAUCAAAGACAUAGAACAAGAGCAUGAGUUGGAAGAUCAAAGUGAUGGAGCACAGGGAAGAAUCGAAGAAAAUUUAUUUUCUCUGUCUCUAGCAUUUUCCAGUCUUCCCUUUUUAUGUUCUUUUGAUUUGAAUGAAUUUUCUCUAACUUUAUUUUGAUUGUGUUCUAUCAAUAGGUUUUGAAUCUUAUAUUGGAGUAAAUUUCUUGACUCAAAUUUCACCAAUACUGUAUUAUAUACCCACUAGAUGUUUUUUUUAUAAUCCAGUUUCUUCCCUUUUGAUCUAUAAUCUGACAGUGCAAAUGUUACACUUACUGGUGAGCCUUCAAGUGUUACAUGAACCAUGAUUUUCUGUUGGUUGUGUUAUAUAAUUGCUAGACAUUAAGUUGGUGAUCUCUAUUUUGGGUUUUUUGUUUUAGGUUAACUUUUAUGCUAUGAGGUUUAUUAUAGGUUAACUUUGAUGCAAAAUCCAGAAUUACUAAGUUCUACAAGAGGUUUUCAACAAACUAAUAAGAUCCAGAAGUUUGAAAAAGCACUUAAUCAAAUUAAAGACGAUUCCAAAUCAAAUCCUGAUGCAGCCCCUCAGUAUUGUAGAUGUUGCAACUUUCUUAGUACAUGGAAGAAGUGCAGCAGCUGCUAAAGCCUCAUCAAGUGAUAAAACUGCUGCCAUAUUAGCUAUACAUGUGGUUGGUGACAGGGCUUCAGUGAAUGCAAAGCUGAUCAAUGGAUGUUUGCGGAAACACCAUUUUUCUCCCUCAAUGGAUGGUCAACUGGAUUGCGAAGCUGAUUGCAAAAAUUCCAAUUUGAAAUAACUAGGAUGUUUGCGGCGAUUGCAGACCCGUUGGAUCUUAUGGCUAUAAUUAAUGGCUUCUACUAUGCAUAUAAUAAGAAGAACUCGAAUAUAUGAAAGUUGUGACAAAGCAAGUAACAAUAUGCUAAAUGGAAUCAAGUUAGAGUUUGUUGGAGAUUGAAGGGCUGAGAUCAAAUCGAAAGUGAGGGAGUUUAUGGUGUGAUGGUGCAUGGUUUUCUUGCUGGGUGCAUCAGAUUUGCAGUUUGGUGCACUUCGGUUUAUGCUGCGAUUCUGGUGUGGAGUUAUGUUGAGUUGUUCUUUUUUGUAUUUACGGUGCAGGUUUGCCUUUGGUUUAAUGAUGCUGAACCAGAUCACUUUUAUGCACUAUCCUUUUUCGGUUAGUUUCGUUGUGGGUCUGUUCUGUCUGCAUAAUUUAAUUAGACGAUUGGUUUGAAUGAAGGGCGGUCUUGCUGCAAAAUUAUGCAGGUGGGCCAAUUUCAUUGUCCUUUUUCUGUCUGUCAAGAGAUGGAAACUUAUUUGUAUGUUUAGGUUUGAAGUAAGAAAAUUGUUCUCAUACAAGAUUACUUUUUUAUUAGAAAUAAAUGAAUCAUAUCAGUAGUGUAAAACAAAAUUUAAUAGAAUACUUUUGCAUGUUCCCCAUUUUGAUUUCAUUGAUUUUUACUUUUUAUAAAUUUUUUUUCAGGUAAAUAGAAAUAAAAAUAAGAGCUGAUCUAAUGGAUGCCCACUUGUAUGCAUUCAAAAGAUCAGUUUUACUAGAAGUUCUAGACUAGGAGUGUGAAUUUCAUAGCUUAAAACAUGAUGUAUUUCAAAAGUUUUAGAUCAGUUCUUGCAGAUCAGUUCUACUAGAAGUUAUGGAUCCGAAGUGUGAGUUUCAUAGUUUAAAAACACUAGAUGGUACCUUUGAUAGGUUCUGCAUAUAAUUUUAACUAUUUACUCUUUCAGUGUAAAAAUUUACUGUAAAACCUCUCCUCACUUUCACUUUUAUUUAGAUGCUGAAAGU